rnacentral:rRNA from 1 species
AAAUUGAAGAGUUUGAUCAUGGCUCAGAUUGAACGCUGGCGGCAGGCCUAACACAUGCAAGUCGAGCGGUAGCACAGAGAGCUUGCUCUCGGGUGACGAGCGGCGGACGGGUGAGUAAUGUCUGGGAAACUGCCUGAUGGAGGGGGAUAACUACUGGAAACGGUAGCUAAUACCGCAUAAUGUCGCAAGACCAAAGUGGGGGACCUUCGGGCCUCAUGCCAUCAGAUGUGCCCAGAUGGGAUUAGCUAGUAGGUGGGGUAACGGCUCACCUAGGCGACGAUCCCUAGCUGGUCUGAGAGGAUGACCAGCCACACUGGAACUGAGACACGGUCCAGACUCCUACGGGAGGCAGCAGUGGGGAAUAUUGCACAAUGGGCGCAAGCCUGAUGCAGCCAUGCCGCGUGUGUGAAGAAGGCCUUCGGGUUGUAAAGCACUUUCAGCGGGGAGGAAGGCGUUAAGGUUAAUAACCUCAUCGAUUGACGUUACCCGCAGAAGAAGCACCGGCUAACUCCGUGCCAGCAGCCGCGGUAAUACGGAGGGUGCAAGCGUUAAUCGGAAUUACUGGGCGUAAAGCGCACGCAGGCGGUCUGUCAAGUCGGAUGUGAAAUCCCCGGGCUCAACCUGGGAACUGCAUUCGAAACUGGCAGGCUAGAGUCUUGUAGAGGGGGGUAGAAUUCCAGGUGUAGCGGUGAAAUGCGUAGAGAUCUGGAGGAAUACCGGUGGCGAAGGCGGCCCCCUGGACAAAGACUGACGCUCAGGUGCGAAAGCGUGGGGAGCAAACAGGAUUAGAUACCCUGGUAGUCCACGCCGUAAACGAUGUCGAUUUGGAGGUUGUGCCCUUGAGGCGUGGCUUCCGGAGCUAACGCGUUAAAUCGACCGCCUGGGGAGUACGGCCGCAAGGUUAAAACUCAAAUGAAUUGACGGGGGCCCGCACAAGCGGUGGAGCAUGUGGUUUAAUUCGAUGCAACGCGAAGAACCUUACCUGGUCUUGACAUCCACAGAACUUUCCAGAGAUGGAUUGGUGCCUUCGGGAACUGUGAGACAGGUGCUGCAUGGCUGUCGUCAGCUCGUGUUGUGAAAUGUUGGGUUAAGUCCCGCAACGAGCGCAACCCUUAUCCUUUGUUGCCAGCGGUUAGGCCGGGAACUCAAAGGAGACUGCCAGUGAUAAACUGGAGGAAGGUGGGGAUGACGUCAAGUCAUCAUGGCCCUUACGACCAGGGCUACACACGUGCUACAAUGGCAUAUACAAAGAGAAGCGACCUCGCGAGAGCAAGCGGACCUCAUAAAGUAUGUCGUAGUCCGGAUUGGAGUCUGCAACUCGACUCCAUGAAGUCGGAAUCGCUAGUAAUCGUAGAUCAGAAUGCUACGGUGAAUACGUUCCCGGGCCUUGUACACACCGCCCGUCACACCAUGGGAGUGGGUUGCAAAAGAAGUAGGUAGCUUAACCUUCGGGAGGGCGCUUACCACUUUGUGAUUCAUGACUGGGGUGAAGUCGUAACAAGGUAACCGUAGGGGAACCUGCGGUUGGAUCACCUCCUUA